rnacentral:rRNA from 1 species
UACGAAGGGGGCUAGCGUUGCUCGGAAUUACUGGGCGUAAAGGGCGCGUAGGCGGAUAUUUAAGUUAGAGGUGAAAGCCCAGGGCUCAACCCUGGAAUAGCCUUUAAUACUGGAUAUCUUGAGUUCGGGAGAGGUGAGUGGAACUCCGAGUGUAGAGGUGAAAUUCGUAGAUAUUCGGAAGAACACCAGUGGCGAAGGCGGCUCACUGGCCCGUAACUGACGCUGAGGCACGAAAGCGUGGGGAGCAAACAGG